GUGACCAAAAUAGUGACAAAAAUAGUGACCAAAAUAGUGACCAAAAUAGUGACCAAAAUAGUGACCAAAAUAGUGACCAAAAUAGUGACCAAAAUAGUAACAUUAAUGAAAUUACAAAAAUGCCACAGCCAUCAACAAACAGUUCUGCUCCAAACAACACAAUUCCAAUCCAAAACCAAAACCAAAACCAACUCCUUAAGAAACUACUAUUUUAUUGCAAAAGAAAAAAAAAAAAAAAAAAAAACAUACACAAUAUAUUAUGCUGCGGCUUAAAUAAUGGAGAAAUUCACAUUUUUUAUUAUACCACCAAUUUAGUAUUACUAAAAAAAUAAAAAUACAUCAAAAUGGGAUUAAUAAAAUAAAUAUAAAAAAAGAAAAACGAAAUAACUUAUUGCAUAUAUUUACUUGUGGGGAUGACCAAUCAAUAAACAUUCUUACAAUCAAACUUGUUAUAAAUGUUAGCACAAAUACAGGUCCAAAUACAGACCACAAUACAGGUCCAAAUACAGACCCCAAUACAGAUCCAAACACAAAUACAUGUGAAGGGACUAAUACAAGUGCAGAGACUAGUACAAAAAAUGAAAAAUUAAACAGUGUACAAAAAAAAUUUCCCUUUUAAUCAUACAAAAUACAAACUAUCAAAACGCACACAUGUCCUCAAUUAGAUCAUUAAUUAUGUUUUCUGACAUACUUAUAACUUCAUCUUGGGAUCAGUAUAUUAACAUAUGGCGAAUAACUACUCCAAAAUUUUAUAACACAAAUGGCACUAUUAAUAACUUACAGAGUGUUUUCAAAAAAAUAGAACAAAUCAAAACGGCCGUCUAUGAUGUCUCUUGUUUAACUGCACUUGUAUGGAAAAAAAAAAAAAAAAAAACUAUC